ensembl:lncRNA
GUUGCCUUUAACAACAGAGACCGAUGUACUGCACACCACCUUUAAGCUGUUUCAGGUGCAGCAGGAGUCAAAUGCAUAGAAAGAGAGGGGAGAGAGGAGAGGUGUCAUGUAUAGGAAGAGAGGGAGAGAGGAGAGGUGUCAUGUAUAGGAAGAGAGAGGCAGAGAGGAGAGAUGUCAUGCAUAGGAAGAGAGAGGGGGAGAGGAGAGGUGUCAUGCAUAGGAAGAGAGGGGGAGAGAGGAGGUGUCAUGCAUAGGAAGAGAGAGGGAGAGAGAGGAGGUGUCAUGUAUAGGAAGAGAGGAGGUGUUAUGCAUAGGAAGAGAGGGAGAGAGGAGAGGUGUCAUGCAUAGGAGGAGAGAGGAGAGGUGUCAUGUAUAGGAAGAGAGGGAGAGAGGAGAGGUG